GAGAGUUUAAGAAAGUUGAAGUGGUACGUGGAAGCAUUGGUUCAAUCUCAUGUGAAAAUGGAGGGCAAGAAAUUUUUGAAGAGAUCACAAAUGUAGUUGAUCCCUUGGUUGCGCGGAGGAAGGGAUGACCACCAACUAAACGGAAGAAAGGCAUGUACGAAAUUAAACGGAAAAAAGGAGGGGGAGCAAAGAAGAAAAUAACAAAUGCUGAGAAAACUUUAGAGGAGGAAAAUGAUGUUGGAAACGAAAAUAUUGGAUAUGUGGGGCCUGCGACCCAAGAUUAUUUGCACCUAAAUGACUACUCUACCCAACAAUCUCAACAUAUAGGUGGGAUGAGUCCAUUUGAGUCAAAUAUUUCCCAAUGCUUUCAUACGUGCCAGUCAAGUUCGCUCGUACAAGGUAAUUCUUCAUUCCAACCGAAUAUGCCUUAAGGAGGAUUUUUUCCAUGUCAGCCCAGUAUACAACAAGCCAUGCAACCAUUUCAGGGUCAAUACCAGUUCUCUCCAUCUUGGAGGACAAGCGUUCAGGGAUUCACCAAUAUGCUAAACACCACACGACCCCCUGAAGUUCAAAGAACUCCAAGAUUCUAUGAUGGUUGAAGUUCAAAAUGCUAGAUACCCCUUUUUUGGCAUAUUUUCUGGUUACCACUCCUAAGAUGGAGGAAGUUAAAAAUGUGAAUGUUCUGUCUUUUAUUUUUUUGGGACUAUUAAUUUGCUCUGGCAUCUAGAAAUAGCACUUUUUU